ensembl:lncRNA
AGGAAGAGAAGCUGACCUUUCUGAUUGUGAAAUACUCCCAGAAGCUCUAGGGGCUGGCUGGGUCACAGAGUUUCCUGAUUGCUGCAGGGGCUCCUUUCACUUUGGGCAUGCUCAUCAUUUCUCCAAGGUCAGAGGUUGGAGCCUUCAAUGUUAGUCAUGGCCUGGAAUCCUUCCAAAAAUGUUCCUUUUUCAUUGUGAAGAUUUUCUUACUGGGAGGGCGACUGGCUGAUGGUAUUCAAUGUCAGCUUCCCGUUCCUGAUGUCCAGGUCCUGAUUGAAAUUCUCAGGGUGAUGGGAGAAUGGUGCUGCUUGGAAUAUCAUGUACUUCAAGGACUUAAAAUUUCAAACAAAACUGCUGGUGAUCCAAAGAGUAAUGAGGAGACAUGCACAAGCAUAAGAAGGCUGGAGUCCUUGAGAGCUGAUAGCAGGUCAGAAAGUAAAAGAGAAGGAGCUGAAACAGAAUCCAGUCUGUGGCAAAUAUGGCCUGGAGAAGAGAAAUGUCAGCAGGGGCGUUCUUCAAACGGUCUUCAAGUAUUUGAAGGGCUUAUUACCUGGGAGAGAAAUUCACCUUGAUCUGCUUGGCCCCAAAGGGCAGACCUGGAUGAUUGUUGUAGAGAGACAGACUUUAACGCGCCUUGCUAACAAUUAGUGCCUCCAAAGUGGACUGCCUUUAUUGGAAGUCUUCAAGCAAAGGCCAGAUGACCUCUUGUUCAAUAUUUUGGAAUAGGGAUUCCUGCUCAAGUAAGGUUCAAACCGGAUGGCCUCUCGCUCCCCCCAAAUUGAAGAUUUUUGUAGUUUUAUAAUUUGUUUUUGACUUUGUAUUCAUAUGCUCUAUAUCCAGGGCAUCUAAUUUUUAAAUUUAAAAUUCACGUAUUACUUUUCAAUAUUAUUUUAACAAGAAUUUACCUUCUCCUCUGUCUCUCCUCACAGCAUCUGUCUUUUUUCUUCAUGAAAAUGCAACAGGUCUAGAUUGUGUCAAAUGUUUCUCUUGUGACAGAAUUGAGAUUUGAACCCAAGUUCACUGACUCCAAACUGAAUGGUUUCUUUAGUGCAUCUUGCUAUAACAUAGUUUAAUUUUGGUCCCACUGAACUGUCCUCUUUAUCCUAUUUGCUGUGAUUAUUUAUACAGGUUAAAAUAUUGGGGCAAUUGAAGGGGGUGGUUGUUUAAUUGGUCAACAAAUACUUCAAAGGGCAGUUGAUAAUAUUUUGGGACUCAGUCCAAUUGAAUAGCAAAAUAUGAUGGUCUGAGUCUCACUGCACAACUUCUUAGAGCCCUCUGCCUUCAUAUUUUUCUGUGUUUUCCUCUCCUUUAAUCUUCUAUGUCCUUUCAUCUUUCUUUUCCUUUGUGGAUCCCUUUAUUUCCCUUUCUCUGUCUACCUCCCUCACUUUCUCUAUUAACAAUGUAGCACAACAAACACUUAUUAAACUUCUCUGAAACCAGGAGAGAGGCAGAGAUGAAAGAGGGAUAUUUGCUGCUCAAAUGGACCUCAUAAUAAUGUUCCUUCUUAUCCUCUGCCUUUUUUCUCCCCAUCUCCCAAACACACAUAUAUCACAAAAAUGUUCAUAAUAUGGA